GCCAACAUGUUAUUCUGUUCUUCCCACUCAGCACUUUGUUGCCCACCUCGGCACUUCUCAGGGACGCUCUAAUCGCGUAUUCCACCCUUCUCCAUCUGUGCUGCAUUGAACCGGAGCGGACUAGUGCACCCUUCCUAAGGAUAUCGCAGAUCUGGUUACUGCACAAGCACCACCACUCCCCUGCGCUGGAGAUCCCUGCGCUCGGCUCGCUGGGCCCCGGAGAUAAAGCCUCGGAGAGACACUUCGGUCCACAGUGCAUUGAGGAGCCAGAACGCUCUCAGGGGCCGUUGUUGUCAUGGAGGUCAGGAUGACAGACUGUGGGGGUCUUGUUGGAGCAGUGGCCACUGAUACAGCCGAUUAAAACCAGGUCUUGCAGGAGGUUGACACUGGAGAGCAGGCUCAAACAACUACAAGAGUGCCAGGAACUGAACCCAAAGGUGUUAAAGCUGAGAAGAGGAGCAGCAGAGGAACUGGGAGCAUAUGGUGCCGAUGCUUCUCUAUCCAUUGCCUGUAAUUAUCAGCUUCUUGUGCUGGACGUGCUGAGACACACAUCUAUAGAUGCCGAGAAGCGACUGGCCUAGUACGUGGUCCUUUACUGCCUCCAUCAGCCUUUCAUCAUCACUCUCACUGCACCAGUCCGGCUCGGUGUCUUUUCAGCGAUGGAUUUCUACCUGUAUCAAAGACACGCUGAUGACAGCCGCGCGGGAUGAGCCAAGACUUCUGGAGAGAAAGCGUUCGACCACAAUCAUGAGGACUUCAGUGAUGGAAAAAGCAUUACACCCCCCCCCCCCGUUGCUGUAAGAGCCAGCUGUAACUUUAACAGAUCACAGGCUGUAGGUCCUGAAGGCCCAGAACACAUAUUAUGUUUAUCAGCACAGUUACUAUCACAUGCCAGGCUCAUCCACCUGGGGAGGGACAGAAAAUAAAAGUUUAGGAGAAUGAGCCUCUGUGUGUGUGUACUUGUAUCUGUAUCUUUGUGAGGACCUUAAGGUUAUAGGGUCAGGUUAGAUUUAUUAUAAUGUUAGAUUAAGGUUAGGUUCAUGUUAAAGUGAGAGUUCACUGAAAAAGAAAAUUCGCCAAAAGUGUUACAAAACACUUUUGGAGUUUCCGGGCUAAACAGCGUUGCAGCCAAAUCCAAUACAAUUGAAUUGAAUGGUGACCAACUCUUCAAACAGAAAAAGCAACACA